UUUGUGUAUAUGGCAUGUUGGGAAAAAUGCUACGCAUCAUAUUGCACAUCUUCUUGGAAAGACAGAUUUUCGCGAUAAAUAUUGGCAAAAGCUUCUAUAUCGUUGCGAAUCUAAAUUUGAAAUGGAGAACACUUGGAAAGCUAUGUGUGAAGAAUGGAGCUUGGGAGAUAACAAGUGGUUGGAUGGUAUAUAUCGCUUGUGGCAUAAGUGGUGUCCUGCAUUUGGGUGUGAUAUUUUUUCCGCAGGAAUUAGAUCUACGCAAAGAAGUGAGAGCACAAAUAAUGUUUUUCAGGAUAUGGCAUGUAAGACUAUGACUUUGUCCGAAUUUGUCAAUCAUUAUGAAAAGCAAGCGGAAAAAAUCGCAACACUGAAGUUGUUGAUGAUUUUGAGUGUGCUCGAGGAAAGCCACGUAUUAUGGUUGAGAAUAGGGGAAUUUUGAAACAUGCUGCAAAUGUAUACACUCACAUCAUAUAUAGGAAUUUCCAGGCUAAGUUCUUGCAUGCUUUGUCUGAACAUGUUCUUGGAUCAGAUGUUGAUGGGCCAUUGCAUACAUAUAUCUUGGGAACUAAAAGUAGUGAAAGGAAACAUAUUGUCCAUUUUAGUCCGAGCGAUUCUACCGUCACAUGUAGUUGCAAGUUAUUUGAAAUGCAAGGAUGGUUGUGUAGGCAUAUUUUGUGCAUCUUGACUCAUGUUGUGAAUGUUACAAGUAUUCCCUCACAAUACAUUAUGAAGAGGUGGACAAAAGCUGCAAAGCAAGGGGACUCCUUUUGAUGAGAUCUGACAAAGUUCUCAUGAUGCAGUUCAAUCAAAGACGUUGCGUUUGAAGAGGUUGAUGCGGUUGGCUUUCAAUGUUAUGAACUUUAGUGUGAAUCGUGAUGUUACUAAGGAGCUUGCAACUACAACUUUGUUGCGUCUUCGCUCCCAAAUUACAAAGAAAAUGCAAUGUUUAACAGAUAAUGAUCAUGUUGAUUUCUUGGUGGAAAGUGAUGAAUAUGAAGAUGCAGAAAAUUCUGGAAUUCGAGUAUGUGAUCCCCUUUGGAGAAGACCAAAAGGUGUACCAAAUACUAGAUUGAAGAGCAUCGGGGAGAAGCGAAAGAGAAAAGCCUUUUCAUGUGCAUGAGUCACCUUGCACAAGGAUUGAUCUUCAGUAAAAGUCUGCGGUCAUUAGAGAUUGAUCUUCCUUCGGCAAGCAAGUUCAAUGUGGAAGCAAUUUGUGUAUCUGAUCUCCAAGGAUUUGUUUUUAUUAGGAGAAUAUUUGGUUGUUAACAGAUUAGUAGUUGUUUUGUUUUUAGAUUCUAUUUACAAGAGUCCCUUUUUGGCGAUUAAGUUACUGAUUGUAGAUAUUUGGUUGCUUUUGUAUCUAUCCUCUAUGGCAUAUCGAAGGGAUGUAUAUAUGCACAUGAUGUCGGUUUUAAUUCUCUCCCUCUUUGGGGCUUUAAUGGAAGAGUUGGUCCACUUCUUAUAA